AGCGUUAAUCAGGCGCUCGCUGUUUGGGUGACCAAGCAGAGGAAAGUCUGGGCAUCAAAUGGCAUCAUGCAAGCUAACGGCUUGUCGUGGCGACACGAAGGACAGUGCAACAGAAAGCAAACCGCCCGUUUAUCGGGUAAGGGUGAAACGGCGGAGUAAGUGCCCACCGCACUGCGGGUGACCGUAGUGGCAAUGUAAACCCCAUGAGAUGCAAGGUCAGUGGUCGGGAUUUAAUGGCGGCCAGUCAACCCGACCCAUACACCGCGCGAGCGUGCCGGUGACGGUACGCCAAGAUAGAUGAGCGCUCAACGACAUAACCCAGCUUACCGAUUAACUCUAAUC
rnacentral:RNase_P_RNA from 1 species